AUCUCCCUUCAAGAACUCAAAGGAUGCCUAGGAGUCAAUAAAGAGGGUAGCACUACAAGCAGCAUCAGCAGUCUGGGGACAAGGCAAGGGACACAUUUGUUCAUAGGUCGUCUGGUCUGAAGACAGAAAGUUCCAGAAGAUGAGGCAAUAGCACAAAGCACAGUGGGAAGGCAUCUCUUCACUGCUGGAAGAGUACAACGAAGGAUUCUGAGAAAUUAUUAAGAGGUUCCUUAAGGAAAAAAAAAGAUGAAAAUGAUAUCAUGGAGCCAAAAUAUUUGCACUUUCUCCUCCCAUUGUUAGACAUUUUUAUUAUGUCCUUUGUUUGUGUUGUAAGCGUCUUAUUAAUAUGACUUAAAGAUUGACACAAAUGUAUGUCAGAGAACACAGACUGUAAGUGUGAAUGAUUACCUGCUUCCUCCACAUUUUCAGCACAUCCACGCUAACCGCUAAUCCAGACAGCAUUAUUUAGUUGUGUUUGAAUGCGACAUUUUUGAAUGUCAUUUCAAAAAAAAAAAAAAA